ensembl:lncRNA
CAGUGAUUGGUCAGACAGUGGUAGCGUAUCUAGUCUAUGUAUAUCUAUGGUCUGAACGUCUGUUAGCAUCUCUGGCUGCUGUUGACCUUAUUUUUGGAGUAAAACACGUGGAAGCUGAAUUAGUGAGGAUGACUCCUGCUCCUGUCAUCUCUAAGCUCCUCCCACAUCUUUACCUGCACAUGAGGAAAAUCACUCCUGUAGAAUGCAGUGGUUCAUCAGAACCUCUGGGGAUGUCCUGUGGAUUCUGUGGAUCCUGUGGGUUGCAGGGUGGGUCCUACCUAGACCAGGCUGAUCCUGGACCAUCCCACAGAUGCUCCAUCAGAUGUGGAUGUGGGGAGUGUGGAACCCAGAUGUUCAGAGGGAGAUGAUGCCACAUCUGGUCCAGCUGAUGGAAGGUCUUGAAGUUCUCUGACUGGCCUCGACUGAAGAUGGUCGUCUCACUGGAUUUAAGGUUCAGAUGCUCAGUAACAAACUCCACCAAUGAGCCAACAGGGAAGCUUUAGGUUUAUUAAAUGUUGCUAUGAAGGUUUCACUGUUUUUCUUUGUGAAUGCAAUGAGCUCCAACUGAAAGUUGAAUUAGAACUUAGAAGUAAAUCCUUCCAUCUGAAAGGAUUUAGUUGCAUUAAUAACCUCAUAACAUUCUAAUUUUUAUUCCAGUCUUGGUUGGAAAUAGAAUCUCUGUAUUGAUUCAGGUAAAAACUGAACUUCACAGCAUGUUGGAGCAAAACAACCAGAUGAAAACUGUGAUGGUGUUGGAUUGUCAGACUGUAAUGUUGCAGCUCAAAGCAGCUUUUCUAUCUCAGUUCAUUCUGACAUUCAGCUAUGAAUCAACACAGCAGAUGGUGAUCCAUGCUGUGGAAGUCUCACAUCUCCUGAUUUAAUGGAGCUGCUUUGCACUUUUUACACUGUUUAUUCACCAACACUUUAUUUAAUAAAAGUCCCAUCUAGUUUUUAUGAGGAAUGUGAUGUUUUAAUUUCUCUGUGAAUAACUGCAGUCUAAUGGAACAGCUGAAACUGUAACAUCUGUCCUGAUAUUGAUCAUGAAGUAUUGAUCAGAAUACUUAUGGUCAGCAGUCAUCCCUGAAGUUUUACAUUCAAAUCAUUACUUGUGUUGUGAACUUUGGUAAGAAGCAGAAACUUUAGCGUUGCCAUGGAUACAUGAGUGUUAAAUUCUGUCCAUGUUUCCAUUUUGGGAAAUUCAGUCCAGCAGAUCAGUUUGUUUUUACUGCCAGCUACAUUCAGUCUGAGAUAUUAAGAAUAAAUAAAUGUGCAUAAUGUGGAAAUGAACAGAUUCUAUUUUUAUUUAUUCCUACAGAUGCUGCAGGUAAAGUUAUAGAAUGUGGAGGAAUUUAGUCUCACAAUCACAGACAAUAAAUAUUAUCUGAAAGUCGGAUUAUUGUUGUUUAUCAGCACAAUACAAAAAGAUUCAUGUUAGAAAUAUUCCAGUUAAGACUCUAGAAUAUCAGGAUUUAUGUAAAUUUACCUCAAUAAUAUGAAUGUUCAGGUUGUGCAGUGAUAUUUAUUAUGUGAGUUUAGCUGAUUAAAGUUUAUUAUUUAAAUUGACAUCAUUAUUAUAAUAUUUAAGGUCAGACUCUACAGUAUUGAGAUUAAGAAAUCAAAUAUUCUAUAAAAUGUAAAUACACUGAACUCAUUUGGAGAUAUUUAAGUGAGACUCUACAAUAUUAUUUAUGACACAAAUCUAUCUAAAUCAACAUUUUAAUCAUUUUUACUCCAAACAUUUACUGGACUGAUUUGAAUAUUAAAAUCACUCCUUUCUAAUCCUCUGCUGUACGUUCAAACCUGAGGCCUUAAAUAGAAACACACAAGUAUCUGAUUGAAGGAACUUCUGCAGAGUCCUGGUUCCACAACAUGAUGAUAGAAUUAUAGACAAACUUCAACAAAAGCUGCCUGAGAGUUUACAGCUUUUUAUGUUGGAUUUCUUCAGUAAUUUAAUGAGAGUUAUCAGCAAAAAUCAAGUGUUCAUUUGAUGAACUUCAUUUCUUAAAACAUCCAGAAUUGGAGCUCAUAUCUUUGGCAGCUGUAAAGUUUCUGCUCCUUCAAAGUUCACAACACAAUAAAUGAAUUCCUAAAACACUCUCAAUGCUGGAGAGCUUUUGAUGCUGAAGCAGUGACCAGUUUUUCUGUUUCUUCUCUGGAGAUGCACAAUGAGGGACGUCUGCAGAGACUGAGAAAGAGUCUCACCACAUCCUGACAUGAGGAAAAAGACUUUAUUGAAGACUACAAUGAGAAAAACUAUCAGACAGCAGACGGCUGCAUUCAAGUCUGUAGCUGCUGAAUUCAUGGAUGAAUCAUCUGGCACUAGAGAGGAAGACCAUCAAACAUCCACGUCAGCUGAUGGAGGUCCAAGAGUCUCACCCAACAAACAACCUACAGAGUGAAGACCUCCAAUCUGAUUGGACGGCCUCCUAUUCAGCCACAUGUGUGAACAAAUGCCUCUAAGCUGAUUUGUUUUCUAAAAUGAAUCUAGUUUGAGUCCUAAUCUAUGCCUGUGUGUUUGCUUCUGUACACUGCUGUUAACAGUUUAAGCUGUUAGAUUGUUCCAGAUAAGACAAGUACAAGAUUCUUCAGAGCCGUUCUACCACGAGCCUGACGGGAAGAACUCCAACAUCUACUGAAUGUUCCUGUGGUUCCCUCAAGGCUACAGGAGGAGUCCUACGAGGACGAGCUGGUCCACCUGAUGGUGGCCAGUCGCUGCGGUUCAAAGCCAACACCGACUACGUGGACUUCUACUGGACCACACGGAGGCCUUCAAACCGGACCAACAAGUUCAGCGACUCCCCGACUCGUGGGUCUGAGGACGCCGCCGAGCCUCGGUCCAGCCGGCCUCCUGUCUGUGGGUGUUUGAGUGCUGAGAGGUUUGUGGAUGCAUGUGAACGUUCUGUGUUGAAACAGCAGCUUUGGACUCAGUAACGCCGGGAAAAACCAAGAGCUCCUUUAUUUGUGACUUCCGCUAA